rnacentral:rRNA from 1 species
CAAUAGCGUAUAUUUAAGUUGUUGCAGUUAAAAAGCUCGUAGUUGGAUUUCGGUUGAGAGCGGCCGGUCCGCCGUUUGGUGUGCACUGGCUGGUUUCAACUUCCUGUAGAGGACGCGCUUUGGGCUUAACGGUCUGAACGUGGAGUCUACGUGGUUACUUUGAAAAAAUUAGAGUGUUCAAAGCGGGCUUACGCUUGAAUAUUUCAGCAUGGAAUAACACUAUAGGACUCCUGUCCUAUUUCGUUGGUCUCGGGACGGGGGUAAUGAUUAAUAGGGAUAGUUGGGGGCAUUAGUAUUUAAUUGUCAGAGGUGGAAUUCUCAGAUUUGUUAAAGACUAACUUAUGCGAAAGCAUUUGCCAAGGAUGUUUUCAUUAA